ACGUAUUUGGCGGGCUGUGGGGAUGGAGCCGGAGGUGGUGGGGUUUACGGUUCCCACAGAAAGCAGCAAAACGGUCUUUGUGUGGAAUAUAGGGGCACAGCUGGCGGAGGGUGACAUUUACGUGAGUAACGCGUUGGGAAUGAGUCUACCGGCGCCAUGUUUAGUGUGGGCGCCCUUGCCCAUACUGCAUCACGUGACUGGAGCAGUAGCUGGGCCAGGCUACGGAGAUAGGAAUGUUUAACAUGGCAUGUGUGUGGCACAGUAUGCUAAUGAUGUCUCUCACUGCAGCUGUUAUGUGAUGUGUGUGGCAUCACAUUUUUUUACAUUUUAGAAAAUAAACCUGAUUAACACUGUAAUCUAAUUAUUAUUUUUUUAAUAAUAAAAUCUUUGAAGACACAAAGGCAGCAUUAUUCACUACUAAACUGAACUAUAGCUACAGCUUAACAAUGUGAUAUUGAACAAAUAAGGACAAGACUAGACUAUAAACUAUAGCAAAUGUAAGUCCAAAAAUGAGAUAUUUUAGGCAAAUUUAGGGUUGUUCUACAGAAAUCUCCAAACACUGUUUCCACCUUGGCUGUUUUAAACCCGGAUUUGAAUGUUGGAUUGUAUUUAUGGCAUAACUUGGAGUGUAGUAAAUAAUUAAGUGUCAUUUACUUCACAGGGUUAUUAGCCGAACUCCCAAUAUGUAUUGCCUGAGUGUCCCUAUUUAGGAGGUACAGUCCAUAUUUUGAUCUAAAAUCACUCUGCCAUUCAUAUAUAUCUUAAUGUCCAUCUUUUGUAGGGGCUCGGUAUUCUUGGUGUCUCUGAUUUUAUAUCCGAGCUCUACAGCAAUAAUACUCCCAGUAAAGUGUCUUUAAACUACAAUAAAUGUAUUUAGAAGCCAGUCUGUGUAAAUAAACAUUGUUCUUGUCCAAAUUUACAUUUUAGUUGCAUAUAUUAUUAGUAAGUCACCUAAAAUUUCACUCAACUACCCGCCCCUGGUCACACCCCUAAAUUUAAAGUUACAUUUUGUCGGUCUCAGGUCUAUUUAGGAUCAUGACUUGAUUCUUACUUUUACCAACAGCAUGGGUGUUUUAUUUUUAUGGUUUGUUUCUAAACAAGAAUUGAUGGAAACUAAAAAAAAAGAUAUUGCUAAUGUUAACACUUCCACUUGGCUAUUUUUCCAGCUCGUCAAAUUUGGAGGUCCCUGGUGCUGGCUUACCUUUAAGUUCUGUAUUCCAGCGCCUGAUCCAUCUACCCCCUGUCCUUUCACUGCUCCUAUGAUGCAAUUUCGGUGAAAUGUACAUUUAAUAGGCCGAGAUUUCCAUGUGGCAUAUGUGUAUGUUGUAUCAGUUACACAUAGCUAAGAUACUGUCAUCAAUGUACUGAGCAUGUGCAGGAACUGAAAUCACAUUACUUUCUCCUUUGUUUCGGAUGAGCCAUGUGGUCUGCCCAUAUAAGGAAAUCCAGAUCCUGUCCACCGAUUGGUUAAGGGUAUGUGCGGGAGGAGCUAUUAAUGGGAGGAGUUAUAGUUCUAUAAAAAGCAUGUACUCCAUGUGUUCGGCCUUCAGACCUGUCUUGGAACGUUAGUUCAUCUGAGACCUGAUCGGUAUGUUAAUAAAGGCCUCUUACUUCCUGAAAACCUGCAUCCAUCUCUCUGUGUCUGGCUUCUGCAAGUUUCCUCGGUUACACUCCAAACCAAUCAGUAGCUUCCUUUUUACAAAACCACUUGAGAAAUAUAGUUACGUUUCUGAAGCCGUUUUGUGAAUCAAGAGCUACUGAUUUGCUUAGAACCUCAGCCAACACUCUUAGCCAAUCAGCAACACCCCUGUCCAAGGCGUCUUCUUCCAAUAAUCUGAGCAGCGGAAGGGAAGUGCGAUUGGCGCUGGACGCUGGUUAUUGAGUUUUGAGGUUAAACCGUUAGUUAACAAGGGACCUCCUAUCACCAUAGCAACUUAAUUCUAACAAAGUUGUUAUUUUUCAACACAGUUGUUAUGGUGCCAGGAGUUUUUUCUUAGAAUAUAUUUGCAAAGUGGAUAUGUUCACAUAUUUUCAUCUGCCUUACUGCCUGUAUCCUUUUUAUACCCAUCUAUGUGCCAUUAUUACUGUAAUUAAUAAUGAAUGCGGCGGCGAGGCUCAUCUUCCUGUCUGCCCGCACCUCCCAUGCCUCACCCUUCUGUCAGUCCCUACCUUGGCUUCCUAUAAAAUAUAGAGCUCAAUUUAAUAUUCCUUAUACACAAGUAUGUCCUGUCUAGGCCCUUACGAUUUGCUGAAGACUUACGUCUAUCUUCUGUCUGUACUUCCACCUCUGAUGCUCGCCUUCAAGAUUUCUCGAGGGCUGCACCGUUCCUGUGGAACUCUCUUCCCUCCUUCGUUAGAUGCUCACCCACUCUCCACUCCUUCAAAAAAUCGUUAAAAAUCCACUUCUUCAUAAAAGCGUAUAAAUUAAACUGUUAAUAGCUCCUGACUGAUUCCUCUUCUGCAACUGUCACUAGUCUAAUACUAUCCUUACCUUUUUGUGUCAUUUUACCCCACUACCUCUAGCAUGUAAGCUCAUUGAGCAGGGCCCUCAACCCCUCUGUUCCUGUGUGUCCAACUUGUCUGGUUACAACUACAUGUCUGUUCGUCCACCCAUUGUAAAGCGCUGCGGAAUUUGAUGGUGCUAUAUAAAUAUCAUAAUAAUAAUUCAUGGGCUCCAAAACUGUCCUAAAGUUAGAGCCAGGACUGACUGAACAGUCUUAAUAAUUAGGGGAUUUCUUAACUAUAUAUGUAUUCACAAGAGCUAUGUGAGUACAAAUAUUAAUUUCCCGUGGUAGUAAAUAUCAGGCUUAUAAAUUUCCCCGGGGCAAAGUAUCAAUAAAAUAAACAGCCACAUUACACCGUGUUAAACGGCCUGGGUUGCUUGUUGUUUGCAAAUGGGCGAUUUCAUCGAGCAAUUUGACUUCCCAAUUAACAAACACGAUAUACCCAGUAAUUUGAUCCUUAAUAUUUUCUAUUUACAAAACUUAAACGAACACCUCCCUUAACCAGUCGCUAUAAAUCUACACAAAAUGUAGAUUUAUAAAAAGACAUUUGGAGACCAGCAUUGGUUCACUUGGUAAUUUAACUUGCUUGCAUUUUUUGUUACUUGUCUACAUGCUGGUGGAGAGACGAACAUGUGGGUACUGCUUUCCUGCAAAACCUGUGUGUUAGUGUUUGCAUAUGUGCUUGAAUGAUUAGCUAUGUAUGUGUCUGUGAGUUUGUUGCUUUUUCGAUGUAAUGGCUGCCUUUAUCUAAUUGUAAAUCAUGUCAUUUCCUUUUUCAGUGUUCUCUUCUAAAUGUGUUUUCCCAAUUUGGUCCUCUGUAUUCCCUUAAACUUCUGCCAAAUGCAGGGGUUAGUGAACCCGGUUACUACGCCGUGAUUAAAUACUAUUCGUCUCGCAGUGCCAGCACGGCCCAAGAACGAUGCGAUCGUAAGCCCCUCUUCCAAGGUGCUCCUCUCAAGGU